rnacentral:tRNA from 1 species
GGGCAUAGUCUAAUGGCAAAACAUCGGCUUCCCAAGCCGGCUAUGCGGGUUCGAUUCCCGUUGCCC